AUACGAAGGGGGCUAGCGUUGUUCGGAUUUACUGGGCGUAAAGCGCACGUAGGCGGAUUGAGUAGUUAGGGGUGAAAUCCCGAGGCUCAACCUCGGAACUGCCUCUAAAACUGUCAAUCUCGAGACCGGAAGAGGUGAGUGGAACUCCUAGUGUAGAGGUGGAAUUCGUAGAUAUUAGGAAGAACACCAGUGGCGAAGGCGGCUCACUGGUCCGGUACUGACGCUGAGGUGCGAAAGCGUGGGGAGCGAACAGGAUUAGAAACCCUAGUAGUCC
rnacentral:rRNA from 1 species